ACAAAACCAGUCACACCUCCUCUGCCAAAUCACACACAAGUUAGUGAUAGCAUAUUUUUAACCUUUUGAAAUCAAUAAAUACAUUAAGACACCUACAUCCUUAUUCAUCUAUCCCCCCAAAAAAAGUAAAACCAAAAGACAAACAUCCUUUUUCACCGUCAUUUUCAAUGUAAAAUUAGAUAGCCUUUGUAUUUUCCUUUUCUUUCUCUGUUCAUCUCUUUCAUGAGCAAAUUAAGAAAUCUUACAAAAAAAAAUGUCCUCUUUUAAGAGAAUUAAAUCAGGAAAUAACUUGCAAGUCCCAAAGAAAAAACAAGAUCUUGAUCCUAUAGGUUGGAUAUUUUCAGAGAGUUCCAGGAAAGUGGUCGAGGAAUGGGGGAUGAAAUUUUUACCCACAGAUGGAAAUAAGGCACUAGAGUCUGGAGAUACUGCAACAAAUCAGCUAGCUCUUUGGGUUGGGAAUCAUUUGUACAAGACUCAGGUACUUAUGUUAAAGAAAUAGUUGUAGAAUUUUAUGCUAAUAUCAACAAAUCAGAAGGGACCACUACAGUUCAAAAUAAAGUGAUACAUUUUAACCCUUCAAUUAUAAAUGAUAUGUAUAAUUUAAGGGGCCUUAAUGAUGAGGAAACCAGGUUAAAGAUUGAAGGAAAGGAUGAAUUAUUUAUGAAAAAAGUUGUUGCGAAAUUAUGUCCUUCACAACUAGCAGGGUUAAGUAUGAGGGAAACAGGAAGGACAUGGGCGACUCGUUUAAUUCCAUAUGUGAACAAUUCAAAUUAUAAUUUGAAAAGGGUCCUUUUGUUGUAUGCCAUUAGAAAAAAUUUGCCGAUUAACGUUGGGCGGAUGAUUUUUGAUUAGUCUAUGGCAAACAGCUUGUAAAUAGACUAACUUGUUGGUUCUUCUCUGUGCUAGUAAGGUAUUUUUUGUUUGUUUGUUUGUUGUCAGGUGCUCAUCCAGCAGGUAACAUCUUUUUAUAGCUAUGAAAAAUAGCUUGUACAUAGUUUAACCUUUUGGUUGGAAUGUGAUAAAAUGCCAAACCUGCAAUGAAAGUAUCAAGGCAUGUUAUUUAGUGCAUUUUCUAGAUAAAAAAAAAAGUUACUCAUUUUAUUAUCAUUUUUUGUUAUCUUCUGUUUAUAAAACAUUAAAAAAAACUUUAAGGACUUUAAGAAAUAAAUUGUUCUGACAACAUAUCAUGAAUAUUUCAAGUUCAUAGAACACUGAAAACUUCUUACUUUAUGCCUCCAUUUUUGCUAAUGUAAGUUUUUUUUUAUUGCGGUGCAACUUUGACUAUUUGAAGGAAAUCAAGGCAUGCUUAAAUCAAUAUAAUCAAUAACUAGAACUUGCCUCUAUGGUUUGUCAAGGCGAAAUCCUAAAAAAAUGCUGAUUUCAGAAAAGAAAUUUGGCUAUCUUUGAAUCGAUUGAGCCUUUUGAUUUAUCCUACCAAAUGAAAAAUAUCUUUAGUAUCCCAUUUUGAGCCUCAAUAUCUUUUUCUUGUUCAUCUCUGCCUUAUAAUCCAAACCCAACAUGCGCACAUGUACAUCUGAUUUUAUUACUCCAAAUACACAAAAAAAAAAAAAGAGAAAAGAGAAAAAUCCAUUCCUUUUCUUUACUGGCAUUGUGGUAUACGAGUUUGAAAAGAUGACAACUCGCAUUGGUAUAUGAUAGAAAAAAAUUUGGAUACUUGUGAAGUUUGCAACGAAUAUUUCUUAAAAACAAAAAUUAGAAAAGAAAGAAAAAAAAAAGUGUAUGUAUAUAUACACAUAUAUAAGAACAUGUAUAUAGUAUAUGUACGGGUACGAGUGCGUGUUCUAUUCAAAAAAAAAAAAAGAAUACAUAUAUGAAAAUUGGAAGGUUGAAUAAAUUAGUUCCUCAUGAUCCGUACUAAUCUAUAUAUUUUUUGCUACAAAGUCAUGUAGCUUAGCAAACCAAGCCAGAAGGAAGGGAAAGAAAGUCACUAUAAAAAUAUUCCUCUAUCCUACCAGCUCACAGCCUAACAUUACAAGCUAACAAAAAUCCUAAAGAUUCUGAAGUCACCAUUGAUUUACAUUAGUGGUGAUUGACAACAAAGGCAAACCUAUGGUUUAUUGUAAAUAAUUGAGUCAGCAUUCUUGAUUUUCCUAAAACUCGAAGAUGUCGUACAGUGAUAUUUUCAGAGUAAAAGUAAAAAUAUAAAGAAAUUAAGUUUUACAAAAGUUCAAAUGGAUUGUAAUUUCAGGUGGAACAAGUUUUACAAAGUUCAAUGGAUUGUAAUUUCAAGUGGAGUCAUUAGAUGUCGCAAAGUUGCGAAUGUGAAAAAAAAGGAGUUCUUUCCUCGAGGAUGAGUAAAAGCUUAAAUGUGGGAGAGUUUGAUAAGUACAUU
rnacentral:lncRNA from 1 species